GUGGCGAACGGGUGCGUAACGCGUGGGAACCUGCCCUUAGGUUCGGAAUAACAGUUAGAAAUGACUGCUAAUGCCGGAUAAUGUCUUCGGACCAAAGAUUUAUCGCCUUUGGAUGGGCCCGCGUAGGAUUAGGUAGUUGGUGAGGUAAAGGCUCACCAAGCCGACGAUCCUUAGCUGGUCUGAGAGGAUGAUCAGCCACACUGGGACUGAGACACGGCCCAGACUCCUACGGGAGGCAGCAGUAGGGAAUAUUGGACAAUGGGCGAAAGCCUGAUCCAGCAAUGCCGCGUGAGUGAUGAAGGCCUUAGGGUUGUAAAGCUCUUUUACCAGGGAUGAUAAUGACAGUACCUGGAGAAUAAGCUCCGGCUAACUCCGUGCCAGCAGCCGCGGUAAUACGGAGGGAGCUAGCGUUGUUCGGAAUUACUGGGCGUAAAGCGCGCGUAGGCGGCUUUUCAAGUCAGGGGUGAAAUCCCGGGGCUCAACCCCGGAACUGCCCUUGAAACUGGAUGGCUAGAAUACUGGAGAGGUGAGUGGAAUUCCGAGUGUAGAGGUGAAAUUCGUAGAUAUUCGGAAGAACACCAGUGGCGAAGGCGACUCACU
rnacentral:rRNA from 1 species